GAUGAACGCUAGCGGCAGGCCUAACACAUGCAAGUCGAGGGGUAGAACACUUCGGUGUUUGAGACCGGCGCACGGGUGCGUAACGCGUAUGCAAUCUACCUUGUACAGGGGAAUAGCCCAGAGAAAUUUGGAUUAAUGCCCCAUAGUAUAUAACCUUCGCAUGUUGGUUAUAUUAAAGUUCCAACGGUACAAGAUGAGCAUGCGUCCCAUUAGUUAGUUGGUAAGGUAACGGCUUACCAAGACGAUGAUGGGUAGGGGUCCUGAGAGGGAGAUCCCCCCACACUGGUACUGAGACACGGACCAGACUCCUACGGGAGGCAGCAGUGAGGAAUAUUGGUCAAUGGUCGCAAGACUGAACCAGCCAUGCCGCGUGCAGGAAGACGGUCCUAUGGAUUGUAAACUGCUUUUAUACAGGAAGAAACCCUCCACGUGUGGGAGCUUGACGGUACUGUAGGAAUAAGGAUCGGCUAACUCCGUGCCAGCAG
rnacentral:rRNA from 1 species